UUGGAAGUUAAAGUCGUAACAAGGUUUCCGUAGGUGAACCUGCGGAAGGAUCAUUACAGAAUGAAAAGUGCUUAACUGCAUUUUUUCUUACACAUGUGUUUUUCUUUUUUUGAAAACUUUGCUUUGGUAGGCCUUCUAUAUGGGGCCUGCCAGAGAUUAAACUCAACCAAAUUUUAUUUAAUGUCAACCGAUUAUUUAAUAGUCAAAACUUUCAACAACGGAUCUCUUGGUUCUCGCAUCGAUGAAGAACGCAGCGAAAUGCGAUAAGUAAUAUGAAUUGCAGAUAUUCGUGAAUCAUCGAAUCUUUGAACGCACAUUGCGCCCUUUGGUAUUCCAAAGGGCAUGCCUGUUUGAGCGUCAUUUCUCCCUCAAACCCUCGGGUUUGGUGUUGAGCGAUACGCUGGGUUUGCUUGAAAGAAAGGCGGAGUAUAAACUAAUGGAUAGGUUUUUUCCACUCAUUGGUACAAACUCCAAAACUUCUUCCAAAUUCGACCUCAAAUCAGGUAGGACUACCCGCUGAACUUAAGCAUAUCAAUAGCGGGGNGGAA
rnacentral:sRNA from 1 species